GUUGCCUUUUUUGUUUGCACAGUAGCUGUCAAUUCCAGCCUUGCAGGAUCAUUAAAAGAGAAACCUGUAAAGGCAACAUUCCUGUAACCGAGUUGGUGCUGCAACGUGCUGGUAAGAAAACAUAUUUAUUUUUUUUUAUCCUUUUUUUUUUUUUUUUGCUUUUCCUUUUUUUUUUUUUUUUGCUUUUCCUUUAUUUUUUUAUUUUUUAUUUUUUUAAGAGCUGAAGGCUUUGUCUGUCUAAUGCAGUCAUAAGCGUGGCUUCCCUGCCGUGAGGGGUUAGCAUGUAAUGAAAAGGUGUAAUUGCCUGAUAUGUGACCUUCGCGUCAUAUGUAUAAUGGGUAAUAACAGAUCCGUGUGUACCCUGAUGAUGCUUCUCUCCGCGAAUUGAUGAGUCGCCCAGUUGCAACAGGGCUAGGACUGUCGCACCAUGGCAAGGAGUUGUUGCUCGUUUAAGGCUGGCAUUUCCGUGUCCUGUCGGGGGGGGAGAAUUCUUGAGUUCUCCAAGUUAUUUGCUUGCAGAGGUGUCGUGGGUUUUAAUAGGUCUCUGACAGACUGUAAGUGCUUUGUUAUUUACUCUCCAGACAGGAAGUACAAUGAUGAAACUUUUUUUUUAAAGUAACCCUGUAAUUAUCCUAGACUUCCUUAGUCCAGAUAAUGAGGAGACCAAAGUGAGUUCUGGGUAGCGUUAUUUUAAUCCCUUUCAUCUACAACUCAUCAGGAGUUCAUUAGACAAUCGACGGGACAGCCUAGAUCAUCGGGGGACUGAGAACUUGAGAGGGCCACUUUUUUCUUGAAAAGGACGAAUUUUAAUUCAGCCCAAUUAAAUGCAACAAGUAUUUCUGUAUACAUCACCUGGGACUAGAACAGAGAAUGUUCUUGUCUGAUAGUCUGUUGCGGGAAGAGAUGUCCAGCAGUCGGCUUUGCAUGCUACUGUGAGGACUGAUCAGAUCAUUUAAGACACGUUUCAAAUGCAGGACUGUUGACGAUGAGAUAGUUGCCAAGGUGAAGUCUCUGACAACCAAUGUACUUCUCUUCCUCCUGUGCAGGCACAUUUAUGUCAAUUUGCAACGAUGCUUAGCACAUUUUUGACUGCAUUUUAAAAUUAUAAGGAGAGGAGAUAACAUAGAAAUCUUUUCUUUCUUAAAAUCCUAUAUCCUUGUGGCAAAGUUUGAGCUUUUACCCCAGUGCUGGCCUCAGAAGCUAUAAGACACAAGGACAGGUUUAGAUUGGAAAAUGAGUGUUCUUGGACUGAGGUCAAGAAACUUAGGAACAGAUAUUUUUCCUUUACAGCCUUUAAAAACACACGUAAAAUAUCAAGGGGUAUUUUUGUCUGUGUUCCAUGGUUGUCUGUAAACUGUGGUCAUUUUUGGUUUUGUGCCUUUUGUUUUCGGUUUUUAGUUAGAUAAGUAAAAAUGGACCAGAAAGAUGGUCAAAAGAGAAUGUAGUUACCCAAUAUCCAUUAAGACCUUUUCCUAAAGAAAAAAAAAAAUCUCUCCUUUGGACGUUUGAAGAUUGUAUGCCAUGUGCAUCUGGUAGGGAAUGUGGCAGUCUACAUCCUGGUAACAUUUGGUCUCUCGUCUCUGGAGCUAUUCUAUCUAAUUGUGUCAUUUCUACAUUUAAACAACUCUGAACCGUGCCGCCCUGCAGGUCCUCACCGUUGGCCCCCAGAUCACUUGCAAUGUCUAAAAAGACCUUGGAACAUUAGAAAAUGUCAAUUGUUGGAAUAAUUUCUGCCUCUCAUAACAAGAGAAAAUACUGUGGAUUUAAUAGUUCGUUUCUAAAAUCCAUUUUUAUCCACCAGUAACUGUCUAUUAGGAACAUUUCCGUUAUAAUUGGAAUAAAUUGUUGCCCAGUAACAAGCAACUAACUCUGAAGCUACUUGCCAUAGAAAUCAGUGACUAGAAAUAGCUACAAAGAGCUUAAUGCAAGUCAAACCGCAGCACUUGCAUUUCUUAAUUUUUUCAAAAAAAAAAGUAUUCAAUUUUUAAUAGUUUUAUUCUGCUACUUAAAUUCUUGACUUUUUUUUACUCAAGGUCCCUCUUCUAGGAAAAUUUCUAAUUGACCCAAAUCCCUGGUGUGAAAAAUAGAGGCCCAUAGACCUUUGGAGAAAAAUGUUUUUUCUUUCUGACUCAAAAUAAGAAUAGGAGAGGAUGAGCAUACUCUCUCAGACUAUGAACGUGAAGAAGAUUCUGGGCCAGCAACACCAUUACAUGUGAAGAACGGCUAUCAUCUCUUGCAGAACGUAAUGCAAAAUUACAGGUUUCACUGUAGGACUCUGUCAUUUGAACGAGUAAUCAGUCCAUAAUUCUAUAGAUUGCUGCAGGUAAAUGAUGCUUCUCCCCAUUAAUAAAAUAUGGAAUAACACUGAAGUUACUUUAGUUAGAUUUUUACCCUAUCCAUUUUUUUUCCAAGAGAAACAGAUCCUCAUAAACCCAAAUCCUGAUAUUGAAAUAUACUUAAUACCAGAAUGUAUUUUCUUCUUCCCUAGCUGAAGGAUGAUAAUAUUACAGUUUCAAGGGCAAAUUUCUUCAACAAUCGUUCUGCAUUUUCCAUUUAGCUCUGGCGGCAGUGGGGGAUAGUUUUCAACCUUCUAAUUGCACACAUGUUGGGAUGAAAAAACACUGUUAUUUUAAACACAGACACACAAACAGACAAAAUUAUAAACACUAGCAUGAAAAUAUCUAGCAAAUAUAAAGGUGUAAGUAGUGCUUUCUGAAAAUAUGACUGUCGAUAUUUGCUCAGCUCAGUAUCAAUGUUGACAGGGUAUCAACUAUUUUAGAAUCUAUGGGAGCACUGAGAAUGAAAAAGCCCUAUCUUGGCCAUCCAGGGAAUGACAGUGUAGUGGAAGUUUAGCUGGUGGCCUAGAAAGCAAUUUGAUUAAUUGGCCUGUGAGGAAUUUUACAUUGUGUAUGGUUCUCGGGAACAAAUAAAAUUAUAAUGUAUUGUUAUGACCUCUUAGAACAGGCAUAUUCUUUACUUUCCACUUUUGCUUUAGUUCUUCUGUUGGCACAUAUGUGUUUUCUACUUCUUGUGUCUUUAAAAGUUGUUCCUAUUAGACAAAUAGUCAGUAUCUGUAUUUUUUCCACUAUAAAAGAGACGGAGCAAGAAGCACAAGGCUGGGUAUCAGGAGAUACCAUCCGAAUCCAAAAUAUCCCACUGAUUUUGCUACUUCAUCUUCCAAGGCCUCUGUCUCCUCAUACAAAGAGGAAGUGGCCACAUCCCACAGCAAAAACGUGUCGGUCCCACUGUGGUGAAGAUGGGUAACUUGCCUUGGAGAGAAAGAGGAAUGUCAGUUAUGGAAGGCAUUCUGGUCCAGUGGUUUAAACAGAGUACCAGCGAGUUACUGACACAGAAACUCCAAGUUCUAGCCUCUGCAUUUGGGCUGAAUUGAGUGUGGUUGUGCCAGCUCCUUAAUUUCAUACCCUCUGCUCUCUUGGCUGACGAGGUAAUGCCCACAGGACUAGAGAGAAGCACUGCAAUAGAACAGCAAGUGUGUGGUGAUGAGUGCUGUGCUACCAUCAAUUGAAAUGCUUCCUACAUGGGACCCAAGAAAAUAAAGAGAAUUUCUCUCACUUUGAAACUGAAAGGUAGAGCAAAGAUGAGUUCCCUCAGUGGGUUAAGAACCUGACAUAGUGUCUGUGAGGGUUAGGGACCUGAGUUACUGCAAGCUGGGGUGUCAUUCACAGAUGUGGCUCUGAUCCUGCCUUGCUGUGGCUGUGGUGAGGAGCAUAGAUUUGGCUCUGGAACAUCCAUAUCUCACAGGUACGGCGAAAGAAAGGAAAGAAAGGAAGGAAGGAA
rnacentral:lncRNA from 1 species